UACCCGAAUUUGCUUCCAUGAU
rnacentral:miRNA from 1 species